rnacentral:siRNA from 1 species
UAACUCUUGUUGAUCGGAUGGU